rnacentral:rRNA from 1 species
UACGUAGGGGGCAAGCGUUGUCCGGAUUUAUUGGGCGUAAAGAGCGUGUAGGCGGCCAUACAGGUCAGCUGUGAAAACUCGAGGCUCAACCUCGAGACGCCGAUGGAAACCAUCUGGCUAGAGUCCGGAAGAGGAGAGUGGAAUUCCUGGUGUAGCGGUGAAAUGCGCAGAUAUCAGGAAGAACACCCGUGGCUAAGGCGGCUCUCUAGUACGGUACUGACGCUGAGACGCGAAAGCGUGGGGAGCAAACAGG